CAACCCUCAAGCUCUGCUUGGUGUUGGAGUUGUAUAGCCUUUGUGGCCGUACGCUCCCAAAAUCAGUGGCGGACUCUCCUAGAUUCCGGGCGCAGUAGAGAUGCGACGCCUUGGAGGUCUAGGCGGGCUCUAGCCGUUAAACCCCAACUAUAACAAGU
rnacentral:misc_RNA from 1 species